rnacentral:lncRNA from 1 species
AACAAUGCUCUAAUUAAACUAUAAUAAUGGUAAACAAACGUAAUCAAAUUCAACACAAUUCAAAGAAAUUUUAAACAAACAAUAAAAUUCUUAAAAAAAUAUUAGAAUGAAUACAAAUAUUAAUCAAAUAUAUGUCAAUUCAACCUUAAUUUAAUUCUAGUUAAAACCCUAUUGAAUUUCACUCAAACUUUAGAUCAAACCUAAUUAAAUCUUAAAACCUAAUAAAUCCUAAAUCCUAAGUCAAAUCCUAAACAAACCUUAAAUUAAAUCCUAAAUAAAAUCCUAUUUCAAAUCCUAAAUCCUAAACCAAACCCUAAAUCAAAUCCUAAACCAAACCCUAAAUCCUAAAUCAAAUCCUAAAUCAAAUCCUAAAUCAAACCGAAUAACUUAAUCCAAACUCUAAUCCAAUCCUAAACCCUAAUCCAAAUCCUAAAUCCAAAAUCCAAAUCCUAAACCAAAUAUUAAAUCAAAUCCUAAUCCAAACUCUAAAUAAAAUCUUAACCAAAUCCUAAAUCCUAAUCCAAAUCCUAAUCCAAAUCCUAAAUCAAACCCUAACCAAAUCCUAAUCCAAAUCCUAAUAAUUCCUAUGACAGAUUUAAAUCUCAGUAUCUAAUGAAUAAACUGUUGAUCUCAAUUCAAAAUUUGCAUACUUCUUAAAAAUCAAGUUUAAAACAAGCACAAAAAAAUUGGAAGGAUCAAAGUUACCAAAUUGAUGAAAACUUCAAAAAUGUGUUUGGGUGUUAGCUAGCCUCCUUCUAUAAUCUUGAUGCCAACCUUCCAGAGCCAAUUUCUCUUCUUUACGCCAUUCGAUUGGUUUUAAAUUUCUCAUGGACAUAGAAAAACAAGUCUUAUACCCUCUCAU